rnacentral:tRNA from 1 species
CAGGGGAUAGUUUAUUGAAAAUAUUAAUUUUGGAGAUUAAUGAAAAGGGUUUUAUUCUUUCCCCUGA